rnacentral:rRNA from 1 species
GUUGUUGGGUAGGGGAGCGUUCUGUAAGCCGUUGAAGGUGAACUGUGAGGUUUGCUGGAGGUAUCAGAAGUGCGAAUGCUGACAUAAGUAACGAUAAAGCGGGUGAAAAGCCCGCUCGCCGGAAGACCAAGGGUUCCUGUUCAACGUUAAUCGGAGCAGGGUGAGUCGACCCCUAAGGCGAGGCUGAAAAGCGUAGUCGAUGGGAAGCAGGUUAAUAUUCCUGCACUUGGUGUUACUGCGAAGGGGGGACGGAGAAGGCUAGGUUAUCCGGGCGACGGUUGUCCCGGUUUAAGCAUGUAGGCGGAGAGUUUAGGUAAAUCCGGACUCUU